AAUCCACUUUAUGGGGCUUUUUGAGGUGGAAUGACCCUGACUGAUGGGGUGUUGAAAUCCACUUUAUGGGGCUUUUUGAGGUGGAAUGACCCUGACUGAUGGGGUGUUGAAAUCCACUUUAUGGGGCUUUUUGAGGUGGAAUGACCCUGACUGAUGGGGUGUUGAAAUCCACUUUAUGGGGCUUUUUGAGGUGGAAUGACCCUGACUGAUGGGGUGUUGAAAUCCACUUUAUGGGGCUUUUUGAGGUGGAAUGACCCUGACUGAUGGGGUGUUGAAAUCCACUUUAUGGGGCUUUUUGAGGUGGAAUGACCCUGACUGAUGGGGUGUUGAAAUCCACUUUAUGGGGCUUUUUGAGGUGGAAUGACCCUGACUGAUGGGGUGUUGAAAUCCACUUUAUGGGGCUUUUUGAGGUGGAAUGACCCUGACUGAUGGGGUGUUGAAAUCCACUUUAUGGGGCUUUUUGAGGUGGAAUGACCCUGACUGAUGGGGUGUUGAAAUCCACUUUAUGGGGCUUUUUGAGGUGGAAUGACCCUGACUGAUGGGGUGUUGAAAUCCACUUUAUGGGGCUUUUUGAGGUGGAAUGACCCUGACUGAUGGGGUGUUGAAAUCCACUUUAUGGGGCUUUUUGAGGUGGAAUGACCCUGACUGAUGGGGUGUUGAAAUCCACUUUAUGGGGCUUUUUGAGGUGGAAUGACCCUGACUGAUGGGGUGUUGAAAUCCACUUUAUGGGGCUUUUUGAGGUGGAAUGACCCUGACUGCGUUUCUUUAUCAUUGUGAAACCAGAUAGAAAGACAACAAACCAUAAUAUUCAGGUCUUUAUCUUGGCUCUUUUCCAAAAAGGGGAGAAACUAAAAAGACAAACUUACAUAACCUCUGCUCAGUCAAUUGCGAACCCAGCGAGUCAAUCAUGUGAUGUUAAUCCUCUCUCAGUUGAAUUUCAAUUGAAUGGGUUUUAUUGGUA